UACUUUGGGACUGUGAUGAUCGGAGCUAUAGCUACUACAUUGAGGUUUCAACAAAUCAGCAACAGUGGACCAUGGUGGUGGAUCGCACAAAAAUUUCCUGCAAAUCUUGGCAAACAAUCACUUUUGAUAAACAACCUGCAUCUUUCAUCAGAAUAGUUGGAACUCGCAACACAGCUAAUGAGGUGUUUCACUGUGUACAUUUUGAGUGCCCAGCACAAAACAGUACCCACAAGGACGAGAGUAGUAAGGAAGUAGCAGCAACAGAGCUGGAGACUGGUGGGCAGUAGCUUGUUUCUUUUCCUGUUGGAGCUGCAAGCACCUGGUUCCCUGCAUUCCCCUCCUGGAUCCACCUCACAUCCUCAUGUUCAUCAACGAUAAAGUAGAUUGAAAGGCAGCUUUUGCAGCCCCACUGACAUUCUGCAAAAUUAUUCAGAACCUUCUUGUGCUGGCACCUUUUCUUUCUUUGUGAAUGAAGGGGACCAUGCCUGAAAGCUGUAAGUAUUGAAAUGAAAAAGGCUUAUUCCCAAGGACAUGAAGAGACUGUUUCACUCUUCCUUGAUAUGUUCAAAUCAGGAUGGUCUCCAAGGGGGGAGAAAAUAGGUCUUCAAUCUUCAUCAAGUACCCCACUAACACCCUACCUCUCUAAUCUAACCAAGGCAAGGGAAAAAGGAAGGAAAUAAAAGGCAAAGCUACAAAUCUAAAAUUAUUCAAGCAGAAUGGAAAUCAUACAAAAUAAGUAUUUGUUCCCUGGAGGCUUUUAUUAGCAAAAAAAAUGUUUAUGGAACACAACAGUCCAGAAUAUAUUUUAUUAUUUAGGUAAUUCUCCAUUCAUAUUACCUUGUAACUAGUAAUCUGUUUUCUGAAUCAUUUUGAUUCUGUAUUCCACUUAAUUUCUUAUUUUUGGCUAUAGAAAAUGUUGUACAGUAGAUUAAGGAAGUAUCAGACAUGUUUACCUGCUGAGAUGCAAAUUCUCUCAUUCAUCAGUGGGAUGACAAGAAAAGCGUUCAUGAUAUCAACAAACUAAUUAAUGUAUCUGUGUUAAUAUUGACCUUAGUUGACUUUUCAGAGUAUAAAAUUGUCAUUUCCUACAUUCAAAAGGAAGUUUCUAAAUGAAACAUCUGUCUUGAAGAAAAUUAUAUUUUUUCACUCUUGGAGAUGAUUAUUUAAAUUUUGUCUGCCUAAGACAACUUGCAACAGAACAUCAAAAAUGUUCAGUUUAGAAAAGUGAAACUCCAUCUGGUCACUGACAAACAGUAGUUCAAAUUCCAAAAGAAGAAUUCACAGAUAAUUUACAUUUGUCCAAUAAGAGUUGUUUUACAGUCUGAAGCUAAAAAUUCAAAGACUGUCUAUGCAUUAUCAUUUCUCAUGAUCUUCAUAAAAUGUGAUGUUUCUGCACCACAUUGUAAAAGAUCUGGUUCUUAAUUUACAGUCACAGAAUUUGUUAUCCAUCUAUAAUGUCUGGAUUACACUGCCUGCUACUUCACUUAUUCUCUUUUCACACUGAUGAUGAUGUAGUCUUUUACUCUCCAGAUCUAUAAGACUUUUAGGAAGAACUCCAUGUCAGUCUUUCAGUAUGGAAUAAAGAGAUAUUGUAUUAAGACAAAUGCUGAUGUAAUUGGCAAAAUUGAUUAGGAUGCUUCUUCCUCCUCACAAAGUAUAUGAUAUUGGAAAUGUCAGCAAACCAGUUUUAUGAACUUGGAAUUUCCUGUGGUGAUAAAUAACCUUGUCAGAAGAAAACAAAGCUAGUGCAGGAUAAGUACGGUUUUCCUUUACAUAACCACAAUGACAAAAUGAGUUAAAUCAACAUAGCAAAUUGUAUGUUAAUUUAUCACACUACUUAAUUUGAAAUAAUUUUCCUGUUGGAUACUGGUUGUGCUAAACCCAAGAAGAAAUAUAAUCAGUGGUAGCAAUGAAUCAGAGGAUAUUUAAAAUAAGAGAAGCAUCCCCUUUCUUUAAAAUAAAAUUGAUUAGGCUUUAUCGAUAAUAUUAUAGUUUUUUUCAUUGUCAAAUUAGUUUUGUUCUGACAUUUGCAUACAGUUCCCUCCCUUCCCACUGCCAUAUUCUGACUUGUGAAUGUCUGUUGGUGAAGAUGGUUGCCCACUGUGCUGUAUAAAGGUUGUAAUUCAUGUGCCACAGCUGCCUUAGACAGUGCGGAGUUCUAAGGCAGGAUUCUGCUUGUGCCAGCCACUUCCCCCUAGUCUGCUGGGCUGAUUACCUUAUGGCUUAACAGCCUUUGGAAUAUGGAAGAAUUAAGACCAUCUAUUGAGGACACCACUGUAAUGUUUAUGUAUAAGUCAAAAAAGUUGUAUUUUUUUUCCCUUUAAAAGCAGGAAAACUUCUUCAGUUGCAAUCCAUGCUGGAACUGCUGAGAUGCCUAGAGCAUAUCUUGCUUUUGGUAGAUAAGUCCUUGCAUGGCAGUGGUGGUAUUUCUUUGCAGUUCCAUCAAACAAGUCUGCUUUUCUCAAACUGUGGGUAAGCAAAGAGCAUAACUUCCUAGCUGUUACUAUUUAGUAGCCACCCUUGUAGAGAAUGUAAAAAAAACUAAAAUAAAAAAGGUUGUGCCAUCUGUUCUGAGCCUAGGCUCUCAGAGAAAGAAUGGAAUUUUUCCAUCUGUAAUCUUUGAUGUGCACCAUUAAUUUUUAUGAUACAAGUAAGUCCUGUAGAAUAUAACCUAUGGAACAUCUCUUUGAUCUUGUCUUGUAACUCACUGUGGAACAGAAAUGUCUCUUUAUUUCCCAUGAUAUUCACUCUCUCCCAAAAAUCUGGAUGAACAUAUCUGAGAUUCCCAAAGUAAAAACUCUGAGGUUCUACAGAGCCUUCAGUUUCCCACCCCCAUAAAACAAUACAAAGAAAAAACAACUUUGCAUUGUCCCUUCACGCAGUUGAAUAGCAAUUUUUUGUAUUAAACUUCUCAGUCACAAUGGCCUUCUCAGAGUCUUUAUUUUAUUUAGAGUUGCUCUGAGAACCUGUCAUCAAGGUGAGUCCAGUGAGCUUCCAGGCUUUUAAGGCAAGGCCUGACACAAGCCCUUUACACUUUCAACCUUUACCCUCUUUAUUUAAAGAUAUAAUGUUUACAGAGAGCUGAACUCCACUGGGCCUUCUAAUAUUGCCCACCAACAAACACCCCUAACACCUGUAUUGCCUAGAAGAGGUCUCUUGUCUUAAACAUUGUGUCAGCAAUGUAUUAGUAGUGACAAAGGAGGAUACAAUGCAGAACUGAUUUGUGGUUUUGUGUGCAUGUUCUCAUUCUUUCUAAUUAUUGUCGGUAUUUAUUGACUCCCAAGUUCAGAUGAAACUUCCUCUGAAGUUUUGUGGAGUUUUUUUCCCUUUUCUUUUUCAUCUUUGCUUUUUCUUUCAGUGAAAGUAAGUUGUACUGUUAUGGUGUAGUAUCAAGGUUUAUCAAAGUGAUGAAAUGCUAUAAUUAUUCAGAACUGUGUAAUCAGUCUUAUCCUAUUUAGAAAAAGGUUAUUGAAGAACUGACCAGGUACUCGUUGCUUUCUUAUCAGAAACUAUAAAAUAGAUCUGUUGUUUGAGUUUUGAAUAAUGGAAAUAUCUGUACUGACAAUAUUGAGCCAUUGAUUCUAUUUGGUACUUCAAUAUCUUUAAAUUCCCCAGGUCUCCUUUUCUCAAUUUUACUUCCAUAGGUUGAAUUCAGGCUGAGACUUAACUCAUAUGGAGCUCAACAAAGGUAUUUCUAAAAUCUUUUUAUUUAUUUACUUUUUCCAAAUGAAAAUAAAAGGUUUUUUAUUCACAGAAGGUAUUAUCUGAGGAAAUACAUUUUUGACGUGAGCAAACAUUGUGCAGCUUACAAUUUUUCAAGAUACUUUUCAAGCCAUUUCCAAUCAGCUUUAAAACGAGUUUAAAUGGCUGUUAAAUGGAAUCACAAUGAGAGAAGGUGUAAUGCAAGUUUUAUGUAAAAGACAAUACAGAGGAGAAAUCACUAAUUUUGUUAGAAUAAGAACUCUUCAUUGCAGUUUCCUUCCUUCAGAGCUCCAUUUAUUUCUUCUUUUCUCCAUGAAAAUCAGUUUUUCUUAUUCAUUAUGACUACUCAUGUAAGAGCUCAGUGCUUUUCAGCAUUGCUGAAAAAUUCAGUUUAAUGUAUCUUCAUCUUUACUAAUGACAUCAGAGAAUUUUCAGUACCUGACUUGAUGAGAGUUAGUUUCCAUGAAAGAAAGCAAAAAAAGUCUGUAAUUGUUUCAGUCUAAUUAAAUUUUCAGUACAAAAAUUAGAUGACAAAAUUAAUGCCAUUCUUGUCUGAUUGUUGUGUCAUCAUAUUCUGGUUAUAAAGUGAUGCCUACUCAGAGAUGCUUAAUAAAGUAUUAGAACUUUGAUUUCAUAAGCUAUAGAUUGCAUAUCUCUAUGAAAAUACUAAUUUGCUUAUAUUUUGACAGGGGUUAGUCUACUGUCAAAUAAACGAAUGCAUUGGUAAUUUUGUUGUUGUGGCUAGAUUAGUAAGCAAAUGAUAGAGGCAGUAAGAGUUAAUAUAUCCAAGAAAAAACAAUUAGGCUUGUGCAUCAUCGUAUUCAGUUGCCAGAGGACUAAACUAUGCUUCAAAAAUAAUUAUUGAUCACAGAGGAUGCUUGAGGCCUGGGUUCCAUCCCCAUUUCUCAGUUAAUGGUUCUAUUUAGGUUGGAAUCAUUAGUUCUCUCUGAACUGAUUGUUGUUGUCAGUUGUACUAAUUAACUCAUAUAUAUGUGGAAGCUCCACAAAGGUUUGUUCAGGAUACAGAAGUUAAAGGUACUGAGUCAAGUUUUAGGACUGCUUAAAUACUCAUAUAGAUAUACAUAUAUUUAUAUAUAUGUGUGUGUGUGUGUGUGUGUAUACAUAUGCGUAUAUAUAUAUAUAUAUAUAAAUAUAUGUGUGUGUAUAUGUGCAUUAAAUUGAGGUAGUAGGUAAUUAUUUAGCUUACAUUUAGAAUAUAUUCUAAAGCUCCAAAAUUUAAAAAAAAAAAUAAAUCUGUGCAGGCAGAUGUGAAAUGCUGCUGUUGUGGUAUGGCAGGAUGCUGGUUGCUUUUGAAGUGCAAAUGUCUAAAAAAGGUACAGGCAAACCAGUCCAGAGUUUUUGUCCAGUUGUUAAAUAUUGGCAAUUUGGCUGUAGUGAGGUGUACACAAUAUAGAGCAAGUUAAAUGCUCAUCUCAAAGAUGGGUGCAGUCUGAGGAACACAGAUAUUCCUCCUAGCUACCUUGUCUGCCGUGGCUUGUAGUAUUUACCGAGAGAACCUUCAUUGGACUUCUGUUACCUGCUGAAAAAAACCCCUGCAGUCUUUUUGGCCCUUGCCAAGCUUUUGUUGCAAAGCUUUGGCUGAGUUAAUGACAAAGUGUGGAAUCUGGGUCUGUGUUUGAAUGUUUACAUGAAAAGGUUUAAAAUCACUCUGCAACUUUCUUUAGAUUAAGAAAGCCCAAUUAAAAAGUGCAGCAUAGUAUGAGCAAACUACAGGUAUCUGUCAUAUGCCCAUGUACUGACUGCCUGUGCAACCACAUACCCAUCUUAUCAUGCUGUAUGUGUUUAAUUACUCCAAUAUGUCCAGGUGGUGGAAGUGAAGAAUGAGCUCCAUACACUCAUAUCAUUAUCCAUUUUCACACAUCCAGUCAUUAGAGAAGUACUUCUUAUACUGUUCCUUGCAGGCCUAAUACAAUAAUACAAGUCAGUGUUCUAAAAAAAUCAUAAUAGAUUCCUUACAUGAACGUAAUGGAAUUGAAGUUCCAAUUACUAAAUAUUCGAAUGAGUGGUGGCAUCACCCUGCACAGGUGUAAACAUGCCUUUUCAUUGUCUCUUACUACUUUAGGCCCUGGGCUAUCACAGAGGAGGAGAGCUGCACUAUUGGUAAAAUGAACUCUUAUUCAUCCUUUUUGUACUUAUCAUCUUGGCACAUCUAUUCUCUUCAUGCAGCUGCUCAAUUAAAACAAGUUUCUCAUCAUUUUCAGAAUUGUCCUUUGACUCCUGAAAUCUGCCAGAUGCAUAUUAACCACUUCAGUCAAUUAUAUUAAGUGGUCUGAAAAAUUUACAAAAUUAAUAUAGGAUGGUCUUUAACACCAAAUUCCUUGUGUCCAAAAAGUACCAGUUAAAUCCUGAAAUACCAAGUUGCAAAAAGAGUAGUUUGGGGGAAAGAAAGACUGGUAUGGAAUUACAUGGUUGCAUCUAUGCAUAUGUAGCAAUGGAAGUGUAUUUGUUAAGCAAAUUGAGUGACUAUUUGCAAAGAUGUGUUUCUAUACCGCCUAUUUUUUGUUAAAAAAUGGAAUUUUGUUAAGAAAUCUAUCAUUCAUCUGAGUGCUAAAAGAGAACAUAGGAAGUGAGGCUUUAGUAGUUUUUAUGGCAAGAGCAACACAAAGAUAAAAUUCUUGCAGUCUGAGCUAGUUCUGUUUGGCCCCAAUCUUUCCAGCUCUUCCUUUUUCCUACAUGCUUUCCCCAACCUGCUUGUUACUCCUUUUCUUUUCCUCCCUACAUAGCAUCAUAUCACUGUUGCUGGGGUGUUCCCUGUAAUUUUCCUCCGUAUUAUGAUGUAUUAAGGAAUUAUUAAUUUUUUUUUAUUUUUACCUCUUUAUCCUAUGUUGACUAAAAUAUCAUCAUCCCCUUUAAUUCACAUCAGAUUCUAAAGACAACUACCACUAGGCUGUCAAGUGCGAGUGAGCAACAUUUGAAUUUGGCUUUCUAUGGAUGUGUGAAAUACUAGUCCUUUUGAACCUUAUACUUCCAUGAUCUGAUUACAGUCUGUUACUCGUAAGAGGAAAAUAAGUAAGAAAUUUAUUGCUGACUUAGGAAGUAGGUCAGGUUUUACACUGACUUACAUAACUUAAGUUUAAAUAUAAAUUUGAAGUAUUUCUUUCUCACCGUGGUACACCAAAUGUAUGCUCAACUUGCUAGUUGUCCACUGUCUAAGGCAUUAAUUGUACAUAAGUGUUCUUUCCUAAGUAAACUGCAUCAUGAAGAGUGAGCCUUGAAAGAAUUCAUAACUUUUCAGUGUCCAUGUGUGAAGGUAUUUCAGCUGUCCAGGGAUCUGAACAUCACACUGACCACAUGGACUCAUUUUGUGAAGUACAGCAUUACCUCGCAAUUUGGACCCCCUCUCUAUUAACCUUAUCCAGUCUCUUGUAAAAUGUUCUUUCAUUUUUGCUUUUCUCAAUUUCACUAUUGUCUUUGGUUUUCUUUUUGAAGUGAGUGUUAAUGGUCAGAGCCAGGCUAAAUAGAAGUUUAGCUUUUAGUGAACUUUUUCACUUAUUCUCUGUUAGUGGCUCCUCUUUCUUGACAGACAGUAAUUUAAAUCCAUUUUACACUAUGUUACCAUCCCUUUCUCUGCAGCAAUUAUAAUUGUAUCUUGAAAUUUUUGUGUAUUAAAUCCCUUUCCUUCUUUCUCAUAGAGUGGUUCUAAACUACCUCAGACUUUGUUGUGAACAGGUAUAAGUUUCGGCUACAGUUUUUAGCCUUUAUCGUAAUCUUUGAAUGUACUUUAUGUAUAUGUGUAUGUAGCAAAACCAGCCUGCAUUUUCAGGAAUACUGUCCCAAGCGAGACAUGUAAUUGGGAUGAAUUCACAGCCACACCGGCUGUUCAGGCUCUCGCUGAUACCUCUAUCAUGAAAAGCUUUUCAGGAGGGCAACUUCUGGUAUGGAAAGUGCUUCAGCUUUCUCUUUGAAGGGACAUGAUGCUGCCUGCACUAGAUGACUUCCACCUCUCCAUUAUCAUGACAAGCAUCAUAAAACUGCAUCAUCAGGCCUCCAUCCCUGGCUCCAGGAUACAUGCUGUUGCACUGGACUGUGUUCAUCAUAUGAGAACAAACCCCACGUGAUGGUGUGUUCUCAUGACCUUAGUGUCAUUUUAUACUGCAGCAGAUGUGCAUUACCAACCCUUUGGGCUAUAAUUAGGUUUCAGGUAAAAUGGUGGUUGCAGAUUGUGCUGCAAUUGAUAACUUUGGGAAUUGACUGGUUUUGUAAGUUAUCCAUUGAACAACCUGACAAACCUUGUUGGUGUUGAUUUUCUUUUCACCAGUAGACAUGUAUAUCAUCAAACAAGCAUUUUUUUGUAACAUGGAAUUUUCUAUGAGCAUCCAGAAAAAGAAGCAUCCCAAUUAUUUUCUUAGUAGCAAUGUGUGUAUUUGUAAUGAAAGUUUUAGAAUUGUUAAACUGCUGUAAGCUAUUUUGUGCAUGCUCUGGCAUUGUGUGAACAGUUUGUAUUAAUAGCUGAUAAGCAGAGGGCUGUGGCAAACAAGGAAGGCUGGCUGUGGAUUUUGCAGUUUCAAAGAGCAGCAGAGUGCCAGAAUGGAUGCAGGACUAGACUGCUCAAAGCAAAUCAUAAAGUGAAACUGUUGUGCUUUGUAUUUAUUUCUUUGGGGAUUCUUCUUCAAAGUAUUUAACUUGACAGGAAAAUAUAGAGUAUAUUUAAAAUAGUAACAAUUAGAAAUACACCUUUUCAAGA